ensembl:snoRNA
UGAUACGUUAAAAAAAAAAAAAAGCUUGAUGGUGCCCAUCUUGUAUGAGCCAGGAACAAAGCAACCCCUUCCUUAUCCCAGCUUGGCUUUCAGUCUAUGCCCAUGCCUGGUUUAUGCUUUGGACAUGUAG